CUGCUAUAAAAAGGCAAUUUAGAAUGAGCUCUUAUGGGUUUCUUGGGAGUUUGAAACCAGCCUGAGAUGGACACUCAAGGGCCUGCAGAUUUUCGUACUUCUGCACCGGCUUCAUUUUUCAACACCAGAGGUUGCCACUUACUUAGAAAGCCUGAAGCACAACCCGAAAUGACCCGUUCUACUGACAUAUUCCCCAUAUUAACUAACAAUAUUUCAAUAUUAAAACUUAAUUUCAAUGCCCUGAUAGGCCAAAAACCUCAAUAAGUACUAGUUAAAGAAAGGACCAGGUAAAUCAACAUGAAAGUGGGUUGCACAGAAAUAUUUCUAAAAUCUGUGGCAGCAUUAUUCAAAACAGUCGACAACUAAAAAAGAAAGUAAACUAGAACCGGAGCUACACAGACAAUUCAAAACUAAAUUAAACUUAACCUUUAAGACAUAAAAUAGUAGAUGCUGGGUGCUGGUUUUUCUUUGUGGAUAAAUUGAGCCCCUCAGGAAAGGGGGCUUCAGUCCUUGAAGCUGGUGGUCAUGGCUGGUGGGGUUUGAUUUCAACCUGCUUUUAACCGCAUGUCAUUCCUCACUCUCUCCUUAUUGUGGUGACAAGCUAAUGUUAGCAACAUCUGGUGGUUUGUUUCAAUAUUUAGUAGCACCUUUCAGCCGCAUAAGUACUGUGUUUGGUAAAAGCCAGUUUGAUUAAGUAAUACAUCAAUCUACACUCAGUAAACACCUGAAUUAUACACUAGAAAGAGCAACUCUUUUAUCGUUUGACGUAAUACAAUUUGAAGAAACUCAAACUCAUUUAGUGUCCACAUUUGUUGGCCACAGAUAUUUUAGUUCCUCACUGUUGUCUUGAAAAACUCACACUGGGUCAGUCUUGUGUAAAAGGAAAGUAUCAGAAGUUUCCAUGCAGGAGUACUUGAUUUAUGUUGUUUUGAUUCUCUUCAUACUCUCCAUCAAUGCUGCAUGGUGUGCCUUUGUCUUUCCUCCUUUAUAGCAAAGAGCUAAAGGGUCCUGAGGUGUCAGCUACUUUCCAUGCUUUGCCCUCUUCUUUUUCCUAUCCUCCCCAUCGCUCCUUGAGGUUUCAAAUUCUCCUAAUCUUUCUUGUUCUCCAGGCUCAUGAAAAGAAAUCCAUCUGCCCUUUCGGGGAGAGCGUAAAAAAUAGUCCUGCAGCUUAAAUCAGACAGAAGAAUGGAUAGAGGUCCUUUGAAAAGAAGAAAAGGUGCAUUGCAGGAACGAAAAGUGUUCACAGGAGCACCGAGGUGAGGAAGUGCUGAAAUAUUUGGUGUUAGAAAAGAGUGGAUGACAUUACAAAUGGGCAGAGAGGAAGAGAGGAAAAAACAGGCAGGAGGGAGUCACAGAGGAGAGGCCUGGAAGUCAAAAGUGUGGUGAUAGAGAGGUUCAGAGAGAGUGUUAGAUACUGAAAGAACAGAGAGAGCAGAGAGGAAAGAAGCUGAGAAGGAAAAAAAAGCAAGGAUUGAUGAGAAAGAGAAAGGAUGAAGUGAACGAUGAGAGAGCUGGAAGAGGGGAGAUAAGGUGAGACGUGGGUUUGACAUCAUUACCGACAGCAGGGCUUGUGUUUACCACUCGGCUGCUGUUUACGGAGGAACUCAUACUGAGAGGACACCUGGUGAGCUGUCAACACACACACACACACACACACACACACACACACACACACACACACACACACACACACACACACACACACACACAGACAAACAUACACAGUGUCAUACACAGUGUCUGUGAGCAGCCGUCACAGCACUGCUCUCCGUGGUGCUGAACCCAACAUGGAGCAGCCCAGAGCGGGGCAGGACUCCUCCUCUGCCGUCCUUAUGGGGAGAAUCCUGCCAGAGGGGGACAACCAGGGGGAAAGGAGGGAGGGGGAUCUAUUUUUAACCACUCCGCUCAUUGUUUAUUAAUGAGCGGGUGUUUAGUCAGACCUGGGGUGCUGUUUAAUGUAUGAUGACAACGCCGCUCUCCAGGGACCUUUCCCAUACUCCUCGGCCUGCGUUUUACAUAACUGACACAGAUUUAGGGGAAGUGGGCUGGGCAGGUUGGCCAUGAGUGGGGGAUGGCGAGUAUGUGUGUAUGUAGGUGUGUGUGUGUGUGUGCAGAUAUGAGUAUCUUCUCUCCCUUGCUGCUAAGUGGUGUACACAUGGGGAGGUUUAACAAGGGGCCACACUGAGGUUCCCAUUUCCUCUUCAUGCUGGGAGCGAUCCAGAAUUCAGCUAAGAAGCAGCGGUCUUUCUUUGAUAUGCUAUGGAUCCUCACAUCCGAUAAGAAAUCACACCAUGUGAUAUGUACAAAUUGUCCAUAUUGGCAUGUUUGUUGGUAGAUUUUUUAUAGAUUUGGCAAACGGCUCCAUUUCUGAACACAUCACAACAAAAAUCUGGGUGUAAAAUUUGAUACACAUCUUGCUUCAAUAAAUCAAAGAAAUAUCCAAGAUUGAAUCAUUUCUUUUCACUAAAAACUGUUAAUUAUGUUUUCAUUGCACCCCAUCUUGACCAUUGCAAUGACCCACUUACUGGCAGGAGUAAAAAUAUGUUUUUACUGUCUGCAGCUUUUAUAAAAUUCAGCUGCCAGGGUGACAGUAACUAAGAAACAACAUCAUAUUUCAAAGGUCCCAAAGAUUUUUGAAUUUUUGCGAUAACUUUCAAAGCACUUUCAGGCCUUCUGGGUAGCUAUAUCAUGGUGCUGUAAACACACUGCUUUUCCACUUGCCACUUGAGUUCUGCAGAGGCUUUCUUUCCAGGUUAUUCCAAGUUCAGCAUCUGAUGAUGGAGCCUUUGGGGUCAAUACUCUCAAGCUCUGGAAGUGCCAGCUUGUAAUGAGGAGAGCAGCCAGAACUCUUUGUUCUCUUUAACCUUUUAUUAUUCUCUGAUCUAUGCACAAGUAAGUCCUAUAAUGACAUCAGUGUUUACAGUCUUAUUAUUAGUAUUAUCUCUCCUUUUUUUUGGUUAUCUAGCUGUUUUAAAACUUUCAACUGUUCUUUAAAUAUGUGCAGAGAAAAUAUGAUUUAUCUGGAAUACUUUGGGAUCUCAUGAUAAGCUCAGACAGAGGUGCUAUCAAUAAUAAAAAGACACGGGGCUCACUCAGUGUGAUUCAGUUGUUGGUGAGUUUUAUCCAAACUGAACCAUAAGCAAUGAAAAGCUUAUCCUGGAAACAUGUUUUAAUUCUUGGAUAAGACAUGUUUUUAUAUUUCCCUCUGAUGUAGGUGUGAUGGGUGUUAAAAGAGCUAGUAUGGAGGAGGAUGGAGGAGUUAUCCGUUGAGCUUUCACUUGUGUUGUGGACAUAACUUGACAAAACACAAGAAAUCAGAAAAGGGCCACUUUAAAAGAAAGGGUCAGCACAUGUCCCAGGAGUGAAGUUUUUUUUUUGUAGGAUAGUAGGGAAGGUCCCGCCCUCCUUUGCCUUUGAUUGGAUAGAAGUGCUGGGCUCCGAUUGCUUAUUCCUUAUGGCUGUGAAAUGUCAUCGUCUGUCAGGUUAGGGUUAGGAGAUUCAGAAGUGCGAUAAUGUUCUGUAUGGUUAUGAUGAUUGCUGAUAGCUGCCAAGCUACCUAGUAAAUUGACUGCAGUAGAAAUUUCUGUUCAACGCCUCUCCUUUUUAGUUUGAGUGUUUUAUGUUUCCCAGACCAACAAGUGGGUCCUCUGAAUUAUCACUGGAAAUGUUUCUGAUUUUAAACCUGUAUGGCUCAAAUCAUGUGGGAACACCGGGGGGAGUGAAAUCUUAACCAGCACUGGUUUCUAUUCAGCUGCUUCAAUCAUGCCUCCCUAAACCUAAUGCAGUGGUAGCAGAUGAUUGUCUUAUGUGAAUCUGGUUCUGCCCGUGGUUUCUGCCUGUGAGGAGGAAAUUUUACCUCUCCACUGUAACUUGCUAAAUGCUGUAAAGUGUUACAGUUGAAGAUGAAAUGGAAGGUCUUUAUCUUACAAGACAGGCUCAAUCUUAUUUCAUCUUAACAUUGGGUUGUUGUAAGAGGAGUAUGAGAGUAUAGUGUAGAGCAGCUUUUUUUUUUCAAGCACCUUGGGAUAAAACUUGUGAAUUGGUGCUGUAUAACUGCAAAUUGAUUGAUUGGGUAGCUUCUUUCAGCGCCUAUUUUCUCUCUGUAAUGUACCAACAUUGCCUUGUUUUCUAUAUAUAUAUAUAUACUGACAUAAAGACAGAGAAACAUGAAAUUUAAAGGGACAGUAAUGCUCUGGACAUGCUCAUAUUCCUCUGAUCACAGACAGUGAAUUAGCCCUGCAUGAGUGACACAGGUUCAUCCUGACAGUUGCCUAGAAGACUCCUCUUGGUGCGGAGCAGAGGAGUGAAAACAAAGCAAUUUGUUUCCCCAUGCCAGGCUAAUAAGCACACACACACACACACACUAGCACAUACACUAACAAACACACACGGGCGCACAGGAGGGGUGAGUCACGAGAACUCAGGGCAUCCGCUGAGCUUUAAUGUGCUGAACAGACAGGAAUGAGAGCAACAAGAAGAGAGAGAGAGGAAAGAAAGAGAAAGAGUUGGCAGAGAAAAAGAGACAAGGUUAAGAAAAGAAGGGGAAAAGAAAGAAGGAUGAUAGUCAGGCUGCGGUGGGGGGCAGAUGAUUACAGGGAGCUACAAAGAGAGAUAUGCUGUAGCUUAAUUGUAGCAUAAAUACAUAAUAAUGUAACACAGAACAGAAUUUAAUUAACAUUCACAUAAUCUGUGCUUUAAUAAGGCUGUUAUUACUAUGGGGACACUUCAUUUGCAUGUAACACUCAACACACACACACACAGACAUACACAAACUCAAUGUACAGAACACUACAAAUUAAGAAACUACUGCAGCCAUCAUCAAUAAUAAAGAAAAGAGACUCUGGAAGACAACAGAACAACUGAAUCAUACUGGUCCAAAGAACAAAGCAGACAAAUGGCAGCAUUAGCACCUGUUUGUGCGCGCGUGUGUGUGUAUGUGUGUGUGUGUGUGUGUGCUCACAGACAGCUGACAAAAUGAUAAAACUACAAGCCAAACAAGUAUCAGAUGCCUAGGAAGGAGCCAGACCGCCCUCGUCUCUGGAGAAGCUUUAACACUUUGGAGAAAGAAGCACACGCAGCAAAUAAGUUAAAGGGGCCUUCUGUCUGUCUCCAUCUCCUUAGUUUAUGUGUGUGAACCUAAUGAUAAUAAUAAUAAUAAUAUAUAAUAAUAACAAUAGUUUAAUAAAGAGCAUUUAGUGGUCAGUGUGAUAUUUGUAUCAGCGUGGUGUAAUUUCAUUUUUGUCUCAUGGUUUACAAUUUUCAUUUAUUGACAUUCUGUAUGCACUGUGUGCACUGGUUGUUUGCACAUGUCCGUGGUUGUGUGUAAAUGAGUGUGUGUUCAAGUCUGCAUUAUUGAAGGCACGGCAUUUCUCUAUUUUUCUUUAUGUAACAUCUGCCCUGAGCUGCUGACAUGCCUCCCCCAUGUGUGUGUAUCUUGUGUCAGUGUGUGUAUGUGUGAACCAUUGAGUCCAUGUUUACAUAAGAGUAACAGGGACUUCUCUGUUCAUGGCAUUGGGAAAGCCCUUUUUCCUCCCACAUCCGCUGCUGCAGUCUGUUAGAGCCAGUUGAGUCUGCACACACACACACACACACACACACACACACACACACACACGACCGUUGCGACUGGCAGCUUGAAUAAUGAAACACGACCCUCUUGAUAUGGCUUCAUAAAUAUUACAUCAAUAAUCUGACAUUAAUGGGUUUUCUUUCCAUGUAAUCCUGCCUACUUAUUUUCUCAAAGCAGCCACACAAACAACAGAAACUCCUGGAAAGUCAGAGCCUUUCUCCUCAUAAAGCACAUUAUGAGGCCUUUAGACAACACUUGUAAGUUUCAGCACCAUUGUUUCAUUCAGACACUCUGUAUCCUGAGCAUUUUGUCACAGGUUUUAUAUUCUUUACAGUCUGAUAACUUUAACUGUUGAUGUUCGCUCUGAUAUGUCCUCCUCUCUGUGAUCGCAGGCCUCACAGCUGUUACAGCAUGGGGAAACCCUUUGUACUUCUGUGUGUGUUUGCUUUUGUAACGAGACUGCUGGUUUCUAGGGAAAGCCAAGGGCCAACCUCCACCACCCACUCAUUGUUUCUGGGUACCUCCCUGUGUAUCUUUGUGUUUCCCUGUCUAUCCCUAUCGAUGUGUGUGUGCAGCUGUUUGUGUUUGGGUGGGGGCAUGCCUUUAGCUGUAAUGUUUCCCUCAAAGCUGACCACUAGCCCUCCAUCUUUUUUGCCUUUUUCUCUUUUUCUUCUUAUUUUCCAUCUCUCUGCCCUUUCCUUAAAUCGAUAUCACUUUAAUGCGUUCACCCUCCCGCUUCCUCUCACUGCUGUAAUCUAUUAUACAAACCACGGGCACAGACGGGGAUGGAGCUCAGUCGUCCUCCUGUUCAGAUAUCAUUGCAGAGGGCUGAAGUAUGUGAGAGGCCAUGAACCCAAAGACUUGAAUUCAUAUCCCAUGUCUUUGUUCAGCCGUAUAUAUGAUUGUUUAUAGCUGAUGUGGGCUUGAGCUGCUGACAUUUAUAAGCAGAAUAGGAGGGGGUAAAUGUAUGUGAGGCCACAUACCUCUAGGAGUUUUAUCUAUUCACUAAAACCAUAAUCCAUUUGCUUCUUUUUCUUUGCUUUGUUUAAGUGUUGGAUAAGAUUGACAGGGCUUGAUUGACAGGCAAAGGGAUUUGGUCUAAAUAUAUCAACAGUUACAUUAACUUUAAAACCUUUAUCCGUUUUUCUCUUUUGCAUUAAUUUGAAUCUUUUCAUCACUCUUUUUUUUCCUUUUUUUUUUACAAUUGUUACUGUAGAUGACAGUCAACUGGGGGGGGGGGUGACUUUGGCUAAAGGCUCUGGAUAAACAUGCUCAGCAUUCAUGUGCAUGGAAAUGCUCCAUUGUGCAACAUCAGUUCUGCAUGGCUGUACUAAAUCACGACAAGAACAUGUCUGUUGUGUGUAAACAUCUCAGGAUGAAACACUCACUGCUCAUCGCUAGCACAAGCACUGGCGAACCAAGUGGGAUGCAGGAUCUUAUGUUACACCUAGUUGACUUGUUAGUAUUAAUGGUCCUUCAAGUCAUAUUGCCUGCUUUGCUUACACAACAGCUCAACCUGACUUCAGAUUUUUCACAAGGGGCUGGAUUAAGCAGUCAGGGUAAAAACUGACUACGUUCACUCAUGUAGCUCUUUAAGAUGACUAAGAUUUUUUACAUUAGAAGUCUUUUAUGUAUGAAACCUCCAGUAUCUGUGAACAUUGGCGCCCCCCUGAACCUGGAUUUGGUAUCUGGAUCAUGUUGAUCCUCUCCAGUCUUUUAAUAAAAACAUGAUACAUGUAGAAAAAAAAUCAUAAUCCUUGAUAAAAACAAAACAUAGAUCACAAAACCUGAAACGUUUUUGUUAAGAUAAAAGUUUUGAAUAUCCUGGCCAAGGGGAACACAGCAUUAACCCGUGAAUGCUGGCACUCCAACCCAAGAGAGGAGCCUUAAAAAAAACCUUUAAAUGGCUUUACAAAUGUGGAAAAUUAAAUUUGAAUAAUCUUUUGGAGCAAGUUACUCACCAAAAAUGGUGAGGAAGUGAGUUUACAUACACCAGUCAAAUGGCUGAAAGAUUAUCUAAAAUGAAGACAUACAAAGAAAUCACCUUGGAGAGUUACUCACUGACCUGUAGUGUCUUUCUCUUAAAUUUAUCCAAAGGUUUUUGUGUUUCGGUGCAUAACUUUAUUUUGUAUUGUUUUAUUUGUAGCAAUUAGCCAUUUGUGGGCUUGAACUUGACUUAUGUGUGUGAAUAAACUUGUAUGUCUUUUUUCUGAGUGUUGAUUCUUGAGAACUGUAAGAAAAAAUUUAAAAAACUGACUUUUUUUUGUCAAGAGUGUAUUUUCUUCAAAAGCAUACACAGCCCCUAAAGUCUUUGAAAAAUUCCAGUGUCUAUGCUUAGCUCAUGUAAAUAACAUCUGUGUAAUAAGAUGCUCUUAUUUGCGUAGCUCCAGCUUCAUCUCUUGACAUCUCCAUCACUCUCCUUAUCUCCAGUCUUAACCAGCAUGAGUGUGUGCCGUAGUGUGGAGCUGUCCAUUGUGCUGAAACUAACAGAACUGCAUCGUCAUCCUACCUGCAUCUCUAAUCACAAAAACAUGAAACAAGAACUGGCAUGUCAACAUGACACCCACUCAGCGAAAUGCCAGAGGAAACCCCAUGGAGGAGCGAUACACCUCCGUGUCAUCUGACAGUGUUCACACCAUUUGUUUCUGAAUUUAUUCAGUCCAUUAUUGACUAAUCAGCCGUCUGCCUGUGUGUGUGGAGUGAUACCGAGUGUGAUGCGUGUGUGUGGGUGAAGUAAUAAGUAGAGCCUGUAAGUAGCAGUGUGGUGGGAGGAAAGGUACUGGCUGUUAUUGGAUGUGGAGUGGGAGGCAGGCAGGCAGAAGCAGGGCUCCCCUGGUUACUGUUGCUCUGUGGGUGGCUACCAGCAGCCAGGCUCUCCUCAUGACACUGUCGCUGGGCUGAGGGGGCGACGGACGGGAGACUACCUCUCUCUCUCUGUCUCUUCAACUCAAACUCCCCGCCCACUUCCUGUUCCUGUUGUCCUCCUUCUCUUCUUUUCUCCUUUAUCCCACCAACACGAUCAUUUUUCUUUCUUUCUCAAGGUCGCUCCACUAUUUUUCUUUCAUGGGUUUUACCUAAGUCUCCUUCUCACGCUGUCAACCUCCUCCCUCUGCUCUUGAAUGGAGGUUCCUGGAGCCUGCAGUGGUCAGAAGAAAGACCUUUUCUCCACCCACCUGACCUCAGCCCCCCUCCCUGCUCUACUUGUUGCUUUCUUUUCUAUUUCCUCUUUACUACUUUAUUUUCCUUUUAAUGUGGAUUUCACCACCGACUAACAAUCACAGUUUACUUAAAGUUCAACUCACCGUGUAAAAUCAUUGUAAAGACACCGAGCUUCUCUUUUUAUCAUCUAUUACAGUUUUCUGUCUUUUUUCCGUGUUCCCAGUGGUCACCACUUUGUGCGUCACUUCUUAAUGCCUGUUUUCACCCAGUUUUCUUUUGCUGUCUUUAUUGCUGUGUCCAUGUAUAUGUGUGUGUGUGGUCAGCUGUUCUAAGUGCUACACAGCUGAUGUCAGAUUGGUUAGUCUCAAAGCAAUAAGGCAGUAAUCUCUUAAAGGCCCAGAGGCUUUUAAGUCCACACCUUCUCUCAUCUCUCUCCUUGAACGCCUCUUCCUCCCUCCUUCCCUCUCACCUUUAGAAAGGAAGACUAUAUUACCUCUAAAUGGAUCUUUUGGUGCGCUGAUGCCCUCCGAGCUCGCACACACAAACACACACACGCACACACAGAUGCAUACAUGCGUGCUUACACUCUCACAAAAAGUGCCUGUACACACACUCAUGCUCCUUUGGACGUUGCUGUGCACCCUUCAUCUUUAUGAAGCUGAGAAUUAUCCCACCAUAGGUAAUCAUAACUUGCCAUACCUGGGACUCGUACAAAUACACCUUGGCCCCUUUUCUCUUAUAAUGUGUAUACAGUGAUCUAACACAGACGCUGCAGACCAGGGCUUGAUAGUCUUGAAACCAAGGGGAAUAUUCAGUGACCUAAUGCUUUUACACUCCGUAGACUGUGUCACAUUUGUGUGUCAGAAAUGAGCAGCGCAGGACAAACUGUACUUCUGUCCCACAUUUUCGUCUCGUCUCUGUGCGCUCCGUAGAGGAAUAGCUUCGGAGCGCACACGCAUUAUAACCAUGCCUUCAUCACAGUGUGCACAGAAAUAGAAGCACGCUAUGUCGUUUGAUACAAAAUGUGCGCUUUGGGUGAGCAUGAAAGCAGGAGGGGCAGACAGGCGGGAGUGAGAUCUGCCCCCAAGCUAACACUUAUAUAACAAUAUGUCUCGGAUAUAUAGCACACAGAGGAUCCAUACUGCUGUUAGUCAACAGUAGAGUCAUUUAAUACCGGCCUGUAGGAGCCUGAUGUGCUGAUGUGCAUAUGCAUCCCACAAUAUUUUCCACUGCCUCAAAGUUUAGAAGAAACUUGUGCUGAUAGCACUUCUACGAAAGUUUAAAGUUAGUACUCGAGAGUCAGAACUGCAGCAGCUAGAAACAGGCCUGAGUUGCAUACUUAGACUUUCCUUGGAUCCUGAGCUGUCUCUAUAGCAACCACUGUAGGCAGUUGCUGUGGUAAUCACUCGCUGUUCCUGCCCCUGGCAUCGUUAAGUGUUUGAAGUUGUCCCAGAGGUGCUCCGCUGAAAGGGUUAACUCCAGUUCUCCCCUGAUAAAUGUGUUCGCCGGCACGCUUAUUUGUCUCUUUGAUGUUUCACAGUGGAGGGGUUAUCUGGCAUUCAGGUCUAUCUGGAGGUGUUUGGAGUGUACAAGCGGCAGGCUGCAGUCUGACAUUGAUGCUAAAGCCAAAAGAAUAGGUCAAUGUGUCUGCCGGUUUGUAGAUGCGCUACACCAAUGAGAUGCCCACCACUCAGCGCUGUGUGGCCCCCCUCAGGUGAUGGGGUGUCAGAAACAGUUAACCCGGGACAGCAAUGAGCGCUGACACCAGUCAGAAUGGCAGAUGUCCACAUGACUGGGCAGGGUGGCACAUGAGGGCACGGGACAGGCCAGGGCUGGCUUCAGAGACUGUGCCCGCAAGACAUGGCAGGAAGUAGACAGAGGGGGUUCUAAAGAGGGUGUACACUGUGCCCACCUCUGCUCGACCUCUCAGAACCUUAGAGCCACAUUAAAGGCUGACGAAAUUGAUUAGACACUGAAAAUGGCAGUGACCUGAUGGAAACAUAGUACAAAUGUGUGUGUGCGAAUACUCAAAUAUCUGUCUUUGUGAGGACCAAGACUUUUACAGAUGCAAAGUGAGGACAUUUCUAUGAAAAAGUGAAGUGACCUGUAACGCAUUCAAAGGGAUGUUAGAGUUAAAGGAAUAUUCCGGAGUAAACACACCGUAACACUGAGUUAGACACCCUGUCGAGAGAUGAAUGUUGCUGAAUGUUACCACGCCUGCAGUACAUAAUGAUUAACAUGAUGAUUGUAACUUCAAGGAAAUGAUAAAGUAAUGAUCAUAAAUGUUCUUCCUUGAGCUGCGUCCCUCUGCUGCAGUCGAUGGACCCGCCCAGAGGUCUUUGUACAAACAAGCGGCUGGGAAGAUGAGUUGUAUUUAGUUUCUUUGCUAAAGAAAUCAGUCAAAGCUAAAAAGAUGUUUGGUGGCUAGUGCUAUGGCUGGGACCCUAUAUGUACUAUUGAUGAAGUUAGGUGCUGUUCUGAGCAUUAUUGUGGCUAUAGAGUGGCGUUUUGGUUGAGCGUGUGGCUCUUCGUAUUGCUAUCCUGCGGUCGUUACCAAAGUUGGUAUAACUAGAGAAGCAAGUGGCCGGCAACAUUCAUCUCUCGAUAGGGGUGUCUAACUUGGUGUUACGGUGUGUUUGACCCUAGCCUAAUUUUAUGCCGGAAUAUCCCUUUAAGUGCUCCUGAGGUUCAAGUUGGUAACUGAGAAUAUAAAGGCAAAAACAAACAGUCCUUGUAAGGAUGGAAAUACAAAGGAUGUUAGAAAGAGAGUCUGGGCCCAUCAAAACUGACAGCAAAAGCAAGUUGUUUCCAACAAAUUAUUUGGGCAGCAUAUAGACUCGAAAACACCCAUCAUGCUACUGUCAAUCACAACUACAGACCAGCGCCCUCUGGUGGGCAAUGACUUUAACUCAGCACUGGUUUCCCCCUUUUGAGCAGCAUCUAUUUCUGAUUCCUGCCAAAUCUUGUUUCAAGGAUCUGCUCAUUCACUGGAUGAAAAGGAAAACUCUGCAGCAGCAGGUUUGUUUGUUUUCUUUGUGCGACAAAACUCCGGUGUAAGUGGUGUCAAAGACAGUAUUUGACAGGCAUUGGGUUUUUAAACAUCUGUCCCAAGUUAAGUAUUCAAUUUCUAUAUUGGAAGUAGGGCAGGAGAAAGUUUUGAGUGAACUAAAAUGCUGAGCUCUUGAUUUUUUUUUGUGGUCCUUUGAGCGUUUUACCAGAGCACAGCGAGCUCAAGAUCCUGCAGAAACCUUCAAAGACUGGAGAGCCUGGAUUCAUCAGGAAAGACCAGAAUAAAGUAAAAGAUAAAAAUACACUAUCUGCACCGGAGAGGAAUCAUUUUUAUCUUAAGAUAUUUCAUCAUCUUUCAUCAAAUUUGAGGUAAAUUCUUGAGGAUGGAGCUUUAGAUGAUGCUGUUUUCUCAGCAUUAAGAGGCGUCAGUAACUUCUUGGUUGAUCAGCUCCAAUCUUUUUCUAUUUCUAUUCAAUUUCUUCUGGCGUGUUUUUAGUGUGAACUAGAAAUACUGGCACAAAGUGGGAUGACUGAAGAUGAUGCUGGCAACAUUUUGCACAUCAGUUGUCUCAUCAUUUUUAAUUUGAGUAAUUUUUUUUCUUUCCUUCAGUGGGACUUUCGCACACAUCCAUGAGCCUGCUUUGCAUUUAAUCUGGCUCUAGACUUCAGCACCAAAAUGGAAGUCCUCAGUUGUCGGUGGCCCAAGAGCGUGAGGGAGAGGUGAAUCCCAGGAGUUUAAGCUGCACUUAUGUAAGCUCUGAUCUGAUGUGCUGGCAGGCCCUUGCUGACUACUUCUCCUCUCUUCUCCUCUCAGAGAUUACCUCGAUUACUUUGGCAAUACAUCAGAAGGAAACCAAGAGAAAAAAAGGCAAAGGGAUAGCAAAAAAAAAAAUCUGCUGCAUGACUAAAAGUGUGGCUUGAUCAUAGCUACCGG